GCAUAAAAAGCCUUGAGAAAGAGUUCACCAAAGGUAGCUGCAAAUAAUUAAGGAUGUCUCUCUGUGAUGGUAAAACGUCGUGGCCGGAGCUGGUCGGAAAACAUGGAAAGGCGGCGGAGGAGACGAUUGAAAGAGAGGUGGGUUGGGUAAAUGCUAAGGUUGUUCAAGAAGGAACCACUUUGGUGACUGCUGAUUAUAGAUGUGAUAGGGUUUGGGUUUGGGUCAAUAAACAUGGCUUCGUUACUAAAAUUCCCAUCAUCGGUUGAUAAAUUACCUUCAAUGUCAUCAACCUCUCUUUCUCUCCAUCUCUCUUCCAUCGAUGUGAAAUUAUAUGUAAUGCAAGUACGUGAUUCUAAAUCUUAUCAAGCAUGGUUCAUAUUCACAGUGUGAUUCAAGGAUCUUUUGUUUACUUAAAAGAUGGCAAAAAUGGAUUAAUUU